rnacentral:rRNA from 1 species
UUCCUACGGGGGGCAGCAGUGGGGAAGUUUGGACAAUGGGGGCAACCCUGAUCCAGCCAUGCCGCGUGCGGGAAGAAGGCCUUCGGGUUGUAAACCGCUUUUGUCAGGGAAGAAACGCUCUGGGCUAAUACCCCGGGGUAAUGACGGUACCUGAAGAAUAAGCACCGGCUAACUACGUGCCAGCAGCCGCGGUAAUACGUAGGGUGCAAGCGUUAAUCGGAAUUACUGGGCGUAAAGCGUGCGCAGGCGGUCUUGCAAGACAGAUGUGAAAUCCCCGGGCUCAACCUGGGAACUGCAUGUGUGACUGCAAGGCUGGAGUGCGGCAGAGGGGGAUGGAAUUCCGCGUGUAGCAGUGAAAUGCGUAGAUAUGCGGAGGAACACCGAUGGCGAAGGCAAUCCCCUGGGCCUGCACUGACGCUCAUGCACGAAAGCGUGGGGAGCAAACAGGAUUAGAUACCCGAGUAGUCGA